GCACACAGUGCACUUUUGGUGGAAGAGAAAGCAAUUGUUUUAUUUGUAUGGGGUGUUGCUUAUAUAUGUGGCUCAUUGGGACUUGAGAAUGUGUUUUGCUUUGUAUUGGUCUUCUUAUCUAUUAAUUCUGGAAAACGUGUGCAGCUGCAAGAAGUAAGAAGUGGAAGAAUGACUCUGUUGCUAAGAAAGGAGCCAUACCAGUGGAGAAGCUCAUGAACAUCCAAAUUUCGCCAAUACUGAAGAAGCAACUAGUUGAUGAUUGUGAAUUCAUUACUCAUCUGGGCAAGGUAAAAGAUAUCAAGUUCAAGAAUGGAUAUGCAACCAACAGGAAUACCUUUGGCUAAAAAUACUUUUGGCUUCUUCUUCUUCUUGUAAUAUUAUUUUUGAUAAGGAAUUUAGAGACCUUUUUUUUGGUACAUGUGUACUUGAUUUAUGUUGAAGUUGGAAAAUAUGCUUGUUGUAAAUAUUUUGAUACAUUAACAAAUUUACGUAUUAAUUAACUAUGUAGACAUUAGUUCUUUAUCA